AGAUUGAACGCUGGCGGCAUGCCUUACACAUGCAAGUCGAACGGCAGCACGGGAGCAAUCCUGGUGGCGAGUGGCGAACGGGUGAGUAAUACAUCGGAACGUGCCUAGUAGUGGGGGAUAGCCCGGCGAAAGCCGGAUUAAUACCGCAUACGACCUACGGGUGAAAGCGGGGGAUCGCAAGACCUCGCGCUAUUGGAGCGGCUGAUGUCAGAUUAGGUAGUUGGUAGGGUAAAAGCCUACCAAGCCGACGAUCUGUAGCUGGUCUGAGAGGACGACCAGCCACACUGGGACUGAGACACGGCCCAGACUCCUACGGGAGGCAGCAGUGGGAAUUUUGGACAAUGGGCGCAAGCCUGAUCCAGCCAUGCCGCGUGCGGGAAGAAGGCCUUCGGUUGUAAACCGCUUUUGUCGAGGAAGAAACGCGACUGGGCCAAGUAUCCUGGUAGUAAGUGACGGUACCGUGAAGAAUAAGACACCGGCUAACUACGUGCCAGCAGCCGUA
rnacentral:rRNA from 1 species